UGCUUCCUGCUCCCCUCCCACCCCUAGGAAGGCAGUGAGGGCGAGCCCCUGCCCCGGUGCUGCUGCAGGAGGAUGGGCAGAUCGGGGUUCGCUCGCUUCCGUGUCCCUAUAGCAGCAGCAACAGCGGUUCGGGUAGGAGCUGUAGGGAGCAAGGCUCUUGCUGCACGCGCUCGUCCCGCACGCAGCUUUACUCCGCGGCACUGAGGCGGGCUGUGCGGAGCGGGGCCGAGGGGGCGCGCUGAGCGGAGCGCUCGGGGUCAGCGAGCUGCUGGGGCUGAGGGUUCCGCCACGUUUAAGGAGGGUGAGCAGCCUCGCACCUCGCUAAGUGUAAGGGAUUUUGCUCGUGGGGCUUUGGGUGUUUCCAUUAAAAAGGAGCGCCAGGUGCCGCGUGCAGGAAUCAUUGCGAUAUGGUGGAAAGAACAAAUGGAAGUUAAAAAUUCCCCAAGAAUCAGUAAGCAAAGAGACCAAAUGGGACAAAGGAGAGCCGUGAGGAAAAUUGGAAUGGUCCUUGGAAUGGUCUGCUCACCUGUCUUUCUCACCUUCAGAAAUCCUACUUGAAAAUACAGUUUGGAGAGGGAAAAAGUAAUUUUUGAAGAGGAAGAAGACUUGACACCACCAAGCUCCUUCUCAUUUGUACAUUGCAGGCAGUGACAGCAACAGGACUAUCUUGACUUUUAGGCCAGUUGGGAAUAUAAACAUACGUGGAAAAAGAGAAGCCAAAUGUCUCUCCUGAACAAAUGUACGCAGAAGGCUUAAGAAACAAUUUUUGCACAUGGCUGCUUUAGUUGAGUGGCGCUUUUGCUCUGCACAAUUAGAGCUGAUCAUUGCGAGCAUUAGAAAAAGUUAAUAAGAAUGAAGUCUGUAUAUGCAAGAGGUAAAAGUGAAAACAGUCUUCGCAAGAACUAGGAUAUUUUCUUAAAAGCUUCGGUUGGGAGGAAAAAAACCACCACAAAGUAAACAGUUCUCAAUUCUGCUCAACAAAUGUAUUCUUAAGCAAAAUGUUGACUUACAUUAUGAAGUGCUCCUUGGUUUGGCACAAAGCAAAAGGCUCAACAGUUCUACUUCUCUCAGAGUAGAUUAGUGCUCUCUUGUAUUUUACCUGUUAGCACAUCCUAUGCUUAUUCUUUAAAUUGUGCAAAGACGAUUUAAGGAUAAAAUGUGAGUGAAAGAAAACUGAAGAAUCCUUUCUUUUACUGUAAUACAUUGACUUUAUGAUUGUGCUGUCAAGGUACCAAGCAGAAUGGAAUACAGAUCCCAACAACUCCUGUCCAAGCUCAUUUGAGCUGUGAUGCAGAAGAGUUCUUAAUACCAGCUUUAAGACUCCAGUGAACUAUGUUCUUACAGAAGCAGGCCAGUGCCUCCUGAUUCACUGACCACAGGUACAUGGCAAAAUGAUGGAACAAAACCAAAUGGAGGAAUAAGAUGCAUUGAACUUACAAUCAGCGUCUCUACUGCCUGCAGUUUAUUUGGCUAGGCUGUAUAAGCAGAAGUGAAGGAAAUAUGGAUGAUUCAUUGCAGUCUGUUGGGAACCACUGAACUAAAACGUAUCAUUUAGAAAAAACAUCCGAACUUGAUAUAAAAAGAAUUCUCUUGAUGGCAAAUUCAUCUCAUGCAGUGGUACUGCUCUCCAGUGCUAAUUAUCCUUGCUUUUAAAUUGAACUCCCUGUUUCUGGUCUAAACUUGCCUAGUGUUCUUUCGGACUCUGGGUUUUGCUAAUCGUCUGCCAACUUAAUGUUAAAUGUUAGCUUUCUGUUCCCCAUGUGGCUUAUUAUGGAGGCUGUGAGCAAAACAAAGCCGUCAAGCUAAACAAAAUUAACUACAGUUGAAUUUUGCACAUCUGAAUUGUUCACUUUGAGGGUUUUUUUUUUUCUGUAACUCAUUCUUGCUACAAGAAGAAAUCCUCUUCUUUCAAUGAAUGCAAUACAGAAAUAUCCCUCUUCAAUUUGGAUGCCCAAAAUCAGUAGGGUUUUAUUAAUAGUUGUCUUAUUAUGCCAAGGCAAGAACUGUGGUUUAUAGGUUUAAGUGAGUGUUAUUGUCAUCAUUUGACCAGUGGUAUUGGUUAUUAAUAUUAGAUUAUUAUUAUUACAUUAAAUUUAUCUACCUUAUGUUUUCCCUUGGCUGUAAAGGAUGACAACACCAUAUUAGCUUUGUACUCCUGCGUAGCUUUAAAGAUGUUAUUUGUUGACUGUGCUUUUUCAGAAGAAUGUUGACAAUCUGUAUGGCGCCACACUUGUGAACUGUGAUUGCAAAUCCACGAUAGCUGCCUUUAAAUGAUUUUGAGGACUGGACAGGUGACUUGCACAGAACUUCUGCUCAAAGGCUUUUCUAGCAUGAGAAACAUUUAUAGGAAGGUGUUUAUUGUGUCCUUGGAAAGGACAAAGUACCAGGAUUGCAGGAAAGAGGUGCUGCUUCUGCAGCUGAAUUCUGGGGGACCUCAUGUACCUUUCUGUUGUCUGCAGUGAUUUUGUGAAGUAUGAUAUAUAGUCUCAAAAAUAAUCUCAGAAGUAACAUUUAAAAGCUCUGUAUUUGGUGAAAUGCGACUAAUACAUGAGGGGAGUGUUCCUGGAACACAUUUCUUGUUACCUUUAAGGCUUUGAUGGCCUUACCAUCUUUUUAUUAUGGAGUGAAGAAGCCUCUUAAAUAAUUAAAUAUGAUGUCUAAGCUGGUUGUAGAAGUCUUCAAA